AAACGGGCCCCGGUAGGUGACCCUAGGAGGGCUCUAAAUGAGAACAAACGGUAGUGGGGAGGGAAAAAAUGAAGCUGAAUUGGGGGUGGAGGGAGAAAUGAAAGUGUUACAAUUAGCUAAUUGGGCCUAGUUCUGGAUCCAGCCUUAUCUCUCCCACUGUGCGCAACGCUCCUCUCGACAUCAAAGACCACCGCGUGCCUGGAGAAUUGGAAACGAUGUUUAUAGGGUACUUUGAAGAUGGAAAGUACAGUUUAAAUGCUGUUAUUAUUAUUGCUUUAAAUGUGAAACACUUUUUUGGGAGGUGGGAGUUUUUAACGUGUUUGUAAUUCUUGCGACGGGCAGGAGCAAGGCUGUGUGGCUAGGACGAACUUGGGGAGGUCAGAAGCACCCCCAUGUACCUUGGCAGCCUCGAGGAACCUGGCUCAGUCCCUUGUCCUCUCCGACUGUGUUUUCCGGGAAGAUGAGGGCUGUCAAUCAGAGGCUGUCAGUUUAUGUAAGAACAUGUCUUGGGGAUCUAAUUGAAAUACGGGAUCUUUCCAGGCAGCGUUGAUGGAGUUAUCACAUUACAGAUUUUAUUUGACUCUGAGUCUCAAUUCAUUCCUUUGUAUAGUUUCCAGUUUCUUCAUAAAACAGAAAUUAGACGGUGUCUUGACAUUAGAAUUUCACGAAAAAGCAAUCAAAUCCAAAUUACUCUGAAGAAGGAAAGGGCUAUAAAAAUGACUAAACAAAAUGGAAGGAGGGAGAGAGCCCCUUCUGGAAGCCCUGGUUCAUGAAUUAAUUUUGCUAUCCAGUCCUUGGGACAAAUCCAACUUAAUUUAAAAGGUUGCCAGACAGAGAACACAAGGAAAAACUUUUCAGACUGUGGUUCAGAGAGAAAUACUAUAAAGUUUAAAAGUUUUUAUUUACUUUUCUCCCCUCCCCUCUGCCUUCUCCUCUGCUCCUGCCUUCUCUCCUUCUCCCCUUCUUCCUCUCACUCCCUCCUCCUUUCCUCCUCUCCCUCCUCCCCUUCUCCUUUUCCCUCCCUCCUCCCCUCCUGCCUCCUUCCCUCCUCUCUCCCUCCUCCUUUCUUCCUUUGCAUACAACUCAGACAAGGGACUGCUUGGUGGCUGUCCCUUGGCUUCCCCCUGACCCAGCCGGUCAUUUCUCUUUCAUGUGUUCAGCGUGUUCUAACAGAAGAUUUUUUUUUCUUUCAAGCACUGGUGAGGGGAUUUUUUAAAUUAAAAAAUCAUCAAAGCUUAAAUGACUUGCCUGACAUAAAACUUGGACCCAACCUGGAACAGAGGCCUUGGGCCUUUUCAAUUUCCUAUGCUAACCAAAGCCCGGACUGGUCUUUUUUUUUUUUUUUUUUGUCUCUAGUAAUGAAAGGCACACAAGGUAUCGAGUUACUAAAUGGCUUUUAGCCUCUUGAAACUCAAGCGAAGGAAAAUCUCAUUCAUCUGAACUCUGCUAAUAGUGGAAUUUGUUACAAUUCGACCUGGCUAAACUGCACUUUACCAUGGGAUUACCCAGGAAGGCAAGUUGACCAGAGAACAGCUAUGCUAGAAGGCUGCUCAGGACAGAGCUUAGAUGCAAGCCCAGCUAAGAAGUUGUCUUAAAUCACUCAGUGUCUCACUUUCCUAAAUCACCCCUUGCUGAAUCCAGAAGAAGUGUGCCGUCAACGCUGACUUGAUCGAAGGGGAGCCAUUCUUACCCAGAAACCCUUUCAUCGUUAAGUUCUCCUUUGCCCUUGAGAGAAAGAAAAGUUCUCCCAGCACCUGGGAAAAGGAAGCAGGAGAAACUAAGAGGAGCCGUUCAAGGACCUCCUCAGCUGCAGACAGAAGACUCUGUCACAAAAAACAAAGGGGAGAGCAGUUGAAGAAGCCUUCUCUUCUACCCCCAGGCAGACCUGCCUGCUCCCAGCAGCGCUCAGGCAUGAAGGAAGGUUUGCUUGAAGCAGGAAGAUCUGUCAUUUCAAGCACAAAGGAGGUCUGGAACUGCAGGAGACAACUCCUUCCAACUCACCACUUUCUGGUUUCUUCUCGCCGUGCUUGGAACCAGAAAAGGGUUGAAGAAGAGAGGAAAUAAAACUCCACCCAGAGAAAAGUCCGGGAAACAUUCCUGCCUGCAGCAAGACCUGAGUCCAUCAGGGUCAGGCUCCUGCAGUACGGCCCGCCGGAGGGAUCUGUAGCAAACUUAUCUGACCCCCUCUUCCAUCACAUCCCACCCCACCGGCGAGCACAGCUCUGUCCCUGCCUCAGAACUUUGGGCUCCAACGCGUUUAUCAGAGAGUUGGGUUUUCAAGCUCUGUCUCCCCACCGCCGCCGCCGCCGCCGCCACCAUGAACACCCGCCAGAGUUGGCAGUCUGUAAUAUGCAAAAAUCCACCCAGAAAUGGAAGAGGGGACAUUUGCACAAGCUGGGUUGUGUCUACAGAAUUAGAAGGCACAGUUGGACUAAUUUUAGUGCCGAAAAAUUGGAAACACUGGGAAUAAGGCCCGGUGGGGAAAUGUGGGUUCUUGAAGCCGCUCGGAGAAGAGCCAGUGGGGAUUUAGGGGGUGGGUAUCUGGAGCCCCUGACUUGGCUGGAAGCUCAGGGUUGCAGAAGGGUUAAAUGUCCCAUAGGCCCCAGGUUAGAGGCCUGGGGUGGUGGGCUCCCUUGUCCUGGCUUCCCAGAUAUAUCUGCUUUCCUUUGUCCAGCCAUAGAUGAUCCCGCAGACACCGGGCUCUCUGGCACUUGGUCCCUUGGGACCCGAGGGGCUCAGGCCUCUGUGAUUGGCCUCACGUGGGUAGACAGCACACAAACUCACUUUGUAUCAGGGGAGCCAAGCAGCCUCCCCCCCCCCCCCCCCCCCCCCGGCUCCCUCUUUCCUUACAGCCAAUCGAGCCGAGGGAGCCUGAGAAUUUAUGAGAGGAGAGCGAAGCACUUUGAAGAAAGGCGCCCUUGUCUCCAGCCUGGCCAUGGCCCCCGCGGUGCGCGUGGGGAGGUGGGGAGGGGUGGGCACGCGAGAGGGGCCGGUGCCCCCGGGAUGGGUGGCGAAAGAAAAGAAUGCAAAAAGCCAGGGUCAAAAGUCUUUCUGGGAACAGAGAAGAAAGCUGAGAAGGGGGCUUGCUUCUCCACAGGUGUGCGGGUGAGCGAGCACAAUGGGGGCCUCCCUUGGCCCGUCCCAGGUGUCGCAGAGGAGGCCCAUCCUAGCCUCAGAAUGGGAAGGUAGGUCCCCAGGCAUCAAGCAAAUAACAUCAGUAUCAUUAAGACUGAGAUGGCCGCGCUCCUUGGACGGUUUUGGCUCUGAGACUCAGUUUCCUCAUCAGUGAAAUUACUCGGUGUAUUAACGCUCCUCUCGGGGCCUGUCGUCAAAUAAUUAAGUGCUCAAUUAAUACAGGCUUUUGGUGUGUGUGUGUGUGUGUGUGUGUGUGUGUGUGUGUGUGUGUGUGUGUCCGAUGUAUCUCACCACAUCUGCCCCCCAGUCUCUCUCACUUCCCCCCAAUGGACUGUCUUUCCAACAAGUUCCCCUCCCCCUUCUUGUUUCUUGGUCCAUUUUUGUGCUCGUUUGUUGUGUUGGUUGACUGGUUAGUUGGUUGGCUUGAUUUGGUUUGUCUUACUAUGCAGAGCUGGCUGGCCCCGGACUUAGCAUGUGGACCAUGCUGGUCUUGAACUCACAAAAAUCUGCCUGCCUCUGCCUCCCAGUGCUGGGAUUAAAGGUGUGUACACUACCACA